rnacentral:pre_miRNA from 3 species
CUCCAUCAUCAGAUGAAGCUGCCAGCAUGAUCUUAAUUUCCCUCUGUUUUAUCGAGGAAAAAUCAGAUCAUGUGGCAGUUUCACCUGUUGCUGCU